rfam:Colletotrichum chlorophyti strain NTL11 CCHL11_scaffold2, whole genome shotgun sequence.
GGCAAGAUGGCCGAGCGGUCUAAGGCGCUAGCUUCAGGUGCUAGUCAAGUAAUUGGCGUGGGUUCGANCCCACUCUUGUCA